CUCUAAAACAGUUGCCUGUUGCAUUUCUUC
rnacentral:piRNA from 1 species